AGGAGAGCCUGGGAAGAGGACAAGUCAAGAGCCUGUUUACAUAUUUCAGAGAUAUGACAGAUUGAU
rnacentral:lncRNA from 13 species